rnacentral:tRNA from 1 species
UCCGCAGUAGCUCAGUUGGUAGAGCAGUUGACUGUUAAUCAAUUGGUCGCAGGUUCGAGUCCUGCCUGCGGAGCCA